CAGUAGCCGCGGUAAUACGAGGGGGGCAAGCGUUGUUCGGAAUUAUUGGGCGUAAAGGGUGCGUAGGCGGCUUGACAAGUCUUGUGUGAAAUCUAUGGGCUCAACCCAUAGUCUGCACGGGAAACUGUCGGGCUUGAGAAUGGGAGAGGUGAGUGGAAUUUCCGGUGUAGCGGUGAAAUGCGUAGAUAUCGGAAGGAACACCUGUGGCGAAAGCGGCUCACUGGACCAUUUCUGACGCUGAUGCACGAAAGCUAGGGGAGCAAACAGGAUUAGAUACCCCGGUAGUCCCUGUCUCUUAUAC
rnacentral:rRNA from 1 species